AUUGAACGCUGGCGGCAGGCCUAACACAUGCCAGUCGAGCGGAUGAAGGGAGCUUGCUCCUGGAUUCAGCGGCGGACGGGUGAGUAAUGCCUAGGAAUCUGCCUGGUAGUGGGGGAUAACGUCCGGAAACGGGCGCUAAUACCGCAUACGUCCUGAGGGAGAAAGUGGGGGAUCUUCGGACCUCACGCUAUCAGAUGAGCCUAGGUCGGAUUAGCUAGUUGGUGGGGUAAAGGCCUACCAAGCCGACGAUCCGUAACUGGUCUGAGAGGAUGAUCAGUCACACUGGAACUGAGACACGGUCCAGAAUCCUACGGGAGGCAGCAGUGGGGAAUAUUGGACAAUGGGCGAAAGCCUGAUCCAGCCAUGCCGCGUGUGUGAAGAAGGUCUUCGGAUUGUAAAGCACUUUAAGUUGGGAGGAAGGGCAGUAAGUUAAUACCUUGCUGUUUUGACGUUACCAACAGAAUAAGCACCGGCUAACUUCGUG
rnacentral:rRNA from 1 species